rnacentral:lncRNA from 1 species
AGGUAGCUGAGGAGGUCAGGGGAAGAGGAGGACCAACACGGCCUCCCCAUAACCUUGCAGCAGGUUACCCCGGUGACCAGUACUGCCGAUAGCUGUAUCCAUACUGUUGGCAAGGCCGUGCAGUACCAGCUCUCUGCUCCCUUGCUCGGGCCUGUGGCAAAGGGUUGUGCUGAAGCACGCUCCCCCUGUGCUUUAUCCACAUAGUUUCCUUAUCUGCCAGCAGGAGUCCCCUGGGAUUUCAACCUUUUCCGCUGCUCACGUUCCUAUUAAAAGACAACAAAGAGGAUUUUGAUUGCUAUUCUUUCCUUGAGUAGAGAGUUCAAGCUUGAGAGGUAUGGGUGAGAUGCGCACGUGACCCCACUCCUCUUCCAGCUUCAUGAUGGUAUUCCUCAUCAGAACCAUAAGGGGAAAACUUCAUUUUGUGUCAUUGGGGAAGAUGCCAACAAGACUUAGGAAACUUCUGAGGACUUGCAGAGAGAUGAGCAUUUUUCCCAGCUCCUUGUCCCAGUUGUGAAUCCUUCUCAGUGCUAAGGGCCUAAGAACCAAGCCCUUCCCUUUCUAAGUCACAGCAGGUAAGUGACAUUUCCCUCUUUGCUGUUUCCCAUAGCCAAUGAUACAACGGUAAAAGUAGUCACUUGGAGUCACAUAAAGGGCAC